GAUGAAGAACGUAGCGAAAUGCGAUACUUGGUGUGAAUUGCAGAAUCCCGUGAACCAUCGAGUCUUUGAACGCAAGUUGCGCCCGAAGCCAUUAGGCCGAGGGCACGCCUGCCUGGGCGUCACACGUCGUUGCCCCCCCAUCUACUCCUCCGGGAUUGCGGGGGGCGGAUGAUGGCCUCCCGUGCGCCUCGUCGCGCGGUUGGCCUAAAUGCCAAGUCCUCGGCGACGCACGCCACGACAAUCGGUGGUUGCGAAACCUCGGUUGCCUGUCGUGUGCGGUCGUCGCGCAUCGAGGGCUCGAAAAAAUUGCCGGGCUUCGGCUCGACUUUCAACGCGACCCCAGGUCAGGCGGGGUUACCCGCUGAAUUUAAGCAUAUCAAUAAGCGGAGGA
rnacentral:misc_RNA from 1 species